rnacentral:snoRNA from 1 species
UCAUUGCGGUGAUGAUAUAUGAAUUUUCGCAUGUCAGACUUCGGAGAUGCUUCUGGCAUCCAUGAGAAGAUAUAUCAUAUUACUGAGCAAUGA